CCCAUCCCUUCGCUGCCGCCGCCGUCCAUCUACUCUGCGGUGCCCGUCCUCGAUCUGCGGUCUCCAAAUCCGGACGAGAUCGGCAGGUUCCACCCCAUCUCCCGUCAAACCCAGCCGCAGCUGCUCGUCGGCCAUGCGGGGAGCACGGACGAGCUGCUCAUCGACGUCCAUCCCGCAGCCCCGCCUACGACGGUGCCCAGCCUCCUCGACAGCGCGCCUCCUACUUGCCGCACGGUAUGUGUCCUCUGCUGCAUAGAUGAUUAACAAGCACCGCCAAGAUCUGUUGAUUCGACCCCUACCCCAUCUCAGCAGUUGACAAUGAUUAAAUGUUUCUGAUUGCAGCCAGAUUUUAGUAGGGGGAGGAUGGAUACUGCAGGGCUUUCAUAUGUUUUUUGAUUUUGCAGAUAGGGCUUUCUUCUAUUUUGGCAAGGGUCAAGCUAGCAACUGUGAAGAUGCAGAAUUCAUGCAACUCCAUCUUACUCCAACUCUCAGGUUUGUCUUUUUCCAUCCUUAAUCACAUGUAUUUUUUCGAAAUUGAUUAAUCACAUGUAUUUUUUCGAAAUUGAUUAAUCACAUGUAUGUGUUUCUACCAUCUUGAUCAUGCAUGAAUAGGAUUACUAGACGGAAGAUGUUUGAAGUGCAAACUAAUAUAAUGUUUAGGUUCAGAUUUGGUGAGAAAGUGAGAACAUGAAUACAUCAGAGAUCAGACUCUAUGCUCUGUAGCCAACCACUUUUUUCAUGUAAUUUUGUUAAGAAAAGAGAAACCAUAACAUGCAAUGCGUACCAGCCAGCUGCUAAUAAGCACCUUCCCGAGAUCCUGUGAAUGUUUACUCUCAGCACACGGUUGCACUGUCAUUAGGGCAGCCCUACAGUUUAUAGAUGGGGGCAUGGGCCAUAAUUGCACAGUUAAUACUAUAGUAAAUAAAUUAAUAUUCCAGUUACUAAUCUUUUGUGCAUUAUAUCAUAGAGCGUAGACAUUAGGUUUCAGUUUGACUCAUGCAUGCAUCAGAGACCUCUCAGGUUGACCUGGGUGGCUGACUGUGUCUGCCACACAAGUGGGAAGUGCAAAUCAUUCUGAAAGUUGAUUCAAGUCUGUAGUGCUUCAUCAACUAGAUUUAUAGAUGCUACACUUUUGUUAAUAUGUUCAAUAUUUUGCCUUCCGAGACUAAACAGUAUAGCUGCUCUGCAUCCAGUACACCUGCUCAAUAUUUGUAGUUUCGUUGAUUCAGAUUAUCAUAGGUAAUUCGCAUAAUGGAUCGUCAUAAAUAAUUUGCAUCAUGUUGUACCAACAGCCAAAGAGAGUGCAUGGUUCUACUUCUGUCUGUUUGUUUGCUCUGAAUCGGCUGUGAAAUUCACUACUGGUACUGCAGGAUCCAAUAAGUAGAGUAAAUGAACUUGGGUCAGAAUAUGAACAAAGCUCUCAAGGUAACUUAAACACCUGAUCCUUCAUUACCUGUGAGUGCCAAUGAAACCCAAACCUGUAUGCAUGCAAUCUCCGUGCAAGAUUGUAGCCGGGUACAAUACUUUCAGUACUCUGCCCAAGCAUAAUUCUUAUUGCUCCUGUCCUUCAGGAAUAAUUCAGUAUCAGGCUAAAUAGGUUCAAGAAUCAAACAAAUUGAAAAGCAUACUCUGUUCUCUUGUAGAGUGUAACUCGAUUCAAUUUUCACUUAACGAUAAUGCCCCAAGAUUUGAUGUGUGACUGGCUUUUUUAUGUCGACUGAAUUCUUCUGUUACAAUCAUCAGUGGAGAUUUCUAAAAAAAAUGUGGAUUGGUAAGACUAAGUUCGAAUUAUCAUAUUUAAUGGGUCAUAAUUUCUUAUUCCAAAAGCAGAUGUUACAUAAAAAUACAUUGAUUGCUUUUAUAAAUUUAAAUGUUACCAAUGGUCAUGCACGUCGUUGCUGCAUGAGUUCAUGUCGUCGGCAGUGGCUCGCUCGUCAAUAAGGCCGAUGAAAUCAGAGGGAGCACGAGCGGGUCCGGGGACGGGCACACUUGAUGCUUCUUUAAUUCACUGCAGCAAAAUACUAACAACAUCAACAUCGACAACGUUUUUCGCACACAACGUCACUCCCCUGACGGCAUCUCUGAUACUUCGGCCCCAGACCAAUUAGUUGCAGCAUCACCAUAGAUUGCCCUCCUGUAGAGCUAUAGGUUGGUGUGAGCUCAGUUUGAUUUUGCCCGGUUUUGAUGUCUACUGUGUGUGCGCGUGCAGGUGCCGAAGGCGUCCGAUCGAACUCAGCUGGAGGCCAAACAGGUUCGGCUCUCGGACAUGCCACCAUUAACGCUCGAUGACACCGAUNNNNNNNNNNNNNNNNNNNNNNNNNNNNNNNNNNNNNNNNNNNNNNNNNNNNNNNNNNNNNNNNNNNNNNNNNNNNNNNNNNNNNNNNNNNNNNNNNNNNNNNNNNNNNNNNNNNNNNNNNNNNNNNNNNNNNNNNNNNNNNNNNNNNNNNNNNNNNNNNNNNNNNNNNNNNNNNNNNNNNNNNNNNNNNNNNNNNNNNNNNNNNNNNNNNNNNNNNNNNNNNNNNNNNNUUUGGUGCGAGAGACCCUGCAUUUACAUGAUAUUGCUACGAACGCGUGCAAAUUACAUAAUUUGUUAUACAUGCUGCUUAACUUGUUCACCGGUGCUGUUCAUUGGACCUUAAGAACAGAGAUGACACCUUACCAUAGGCAGCUCUUAAUUAUGUGUGCAUUAAUUCAAUUCUAAAAGUUGAUUCAAGUCUGUUGUGCUUGAAGUAGAUUCAUAGAAGCAAUUCCGUUAGUAUGUGAACAAAAAGCUUAUCUUAUACUCCCUCCGUCCGAAAUUACUUGUAAUGGAAAUGAAUGUAUCUAGACAUUUUUUAGUUCUAGAUACACCCAUUGUUAUUUAUUUUGGAGACAAGUAAUUUCGGACGAAGGGAGUAUGUGUGACCAGAGUUGCAGAAUAUGAAUAGGGGAAUGAUCAUAGAUGCCAACACCUACAGUGUGAUUUAUCUUGGUAGAGGUGCACUGGAUUCGUAAGUAGUUUUGGUGUUUUUUCUAGAUAGCUCAAGUAUUUAAGCUUCUGCAAUCAUGAAAAACAGAGUAGUCCAUUAAUCCUUCUAUAGGUGGUCUCGUUGAUGCCUUUCCCCCUUCAUUAACAGUACAAUGAUGCUUUCUCUGUUAACCUUCUCUGUGGUGUUGGGCGCCGCGCUCUUGACCUUGGAAGUGUAUUUGCAAUUUUACUCAUAAUACUUUUGUGUGAUAAUAAUGCUUUUGUGUGAUAGUGAGGCAAUUUAGUUGCAUGCCUUCAGUUACAAAAAAAGUAACAAGAGUUGAACAUACGAAUUGGUCAUCAAUGGCCGCAGAACAGGAGAGCAAUUUCAAUGGACAAUGGAAACAUGAGUAAAACAAGCAGCUAAACGAAGGCCGCUUGCCCAGAGUGUCUCGGAGGAGGAUGUCACUGCCGCUAGAUUGGCGGAUGACUACUUCUUGGUGGUCUAUGGAUGUCGCACUGUAUGGAUCUUUAUCUGUAGUUGGAUAGUUCCUGACCUCAUUCCAGGAGGAUGAUUGGAGCCUGGUACUUCACUUUUCUCCUUACUGAUAAUGCUCCCGUUCAUUAAUUUGGUUAUGCUCAUGACAUUGCACAUUAGUUGCUGCGAGCCAAGCGAUAGAAAAGUUUGAAACUAAUGCUACAGAUGAUUUUUCUUUUUUCUUUUUUGUGACAUUUUUUUGGGUUCAGCAUGUUGAUAAGAACUACUCCCUCCGUUUCUAAAUAUAAGUCUUUUUUUAAAGAUUCCAAUGUGAACUAGAUAAGGAUGUAUAUAGGCGGAUUUUAGAGUGAGAUUCACCCAUUUCCACCGUAUGUAGUCCAUAUUGAAAUCUUCUAUGACUUAUAUUUAGGAACGGAGUGGGUACUCAGAAGAAUGUUAUAUCAAGCAAUCAUGUCUGAUAUGUUCACAUGAGUUCUUUCAUGUGGCCGUUCCUUACAUUCCUUUGCUUCCGACUAUUCCAGCCAGCUGCAAUGAAGUCCUCCAGAGAUAAGGGUUUGCAGAAAAUGAUCUUGGCAUCCCAGAUAAGCAGGUCGAGGUCAAAGCCGGUGCCCAGGGGGAUUUCAAUGGAUCACCAACACGAGAAACUGAAAUGGCAGGACCAGAAAAGAUGGUCCCAGAUCUCACUGCAGCCGGAUGUGCAAGAACACAUCAAUGAUCAUCUGUGAGACUGUGACACUGAAAUUUUGUCGAUGGAGCAUUGCCUCUGCCAUUUAGCUUCUAGAGUACAAUGACCUGUACGUACAACUAUAACAGCUAGCAGCAUGGUUUAUCCCUUCUGAUUGUACUAUUUCUCUAGAGUGAUGGCAUAGGAAGAGCGUGUGUAUAUGUUGAGGUUAGUCUUCUGAAACUAAUGCUCCAGAUGUUCUCUGUAAACUAAUGCUGCAAGUGUUUGUUUGGGACAAGCCCAAAUAGUGUUCCAAUUUUUAUGAAAAUGUUAACUUCUAUUAAAAAAUAAGAAAAUUACCAAAAUUAACCUAAUUAUCGAUGUUUAUUUAAAUUGGACAUAAAAAUGAUGCACAAUAUGGCACAUGAAGCAGACUGUGCCCUUUUUUUUGUCCGGUGCAACGCACGGGCAUUUGUACUAGUAAUAAUAAAGCA
rnacentral:lncRNA from 1 species